rnacentral:rRNA from 1 species
UACGUAGGGGGCUAGCGUUGUCCGGAAUCAUUGGGCGUAAAGAGCGUGUAGGCGGUCCGGUAAGUCCGCUGUGAAAGUCGGGGGCUCAACCCUCGAAUGCCGGUGGAUACUGUCGGGCUAGGAGUGCGGAAGAGGCGAGUGGAAUUCCUGGUGUAGCGGUGAAAUGCGCAGAUAUCAGGAGGAACACCUAUUGCGAAGGCAGCUCGCUGGGACGUAACUGACGCUGAGACGCGAAAGCGUGGGGAGCAAACAGG